CACUGCUGACCUUCUCCGCGUGCACGAUCUCGGUGACUGCGACCCCCUGCACUCCCACACUUUCAGAAGGGAAGGAGUGAGCUUAUAGAGCUAUCAAACCAGAAUGUGCCUGCUUGUUGCUUCUUCUGCUUCCCUGUUUCUGGGACCUUCCAUUGAAGCAACGGGGACCUCCACGUGAUUUCAAGAAACGUUUACACUCAGCUGUGUUUUAUACGGUGGGCUGCUUUCUUCUUCAUUUUCCUUAAUUUAAGAUGAACUGAAGCUCUGGGCUUCUCUGAAGAGACGUAGAAGCUGAAUGUGUGAGCUGAGCAUCCCAAAAACCUCAUGGUAAAUCCCCUCAGACAAUUAUGUCGCAAUCAGUGCAUUUGAGAAAUUAUGACAUGUUUGAAAACCCCCAAGCCUGCGACACCCAUAAGAUUUAAAUCAGAGGUGGGGAAGGUGUGUCACAUUUAAAAAAAGAAAUGGCCACAAAAGCACUUUUGUUUAAAGCCUCCCAGGUACUCUGAAAUGCGUCGUAGCAGGGGGUGAAGCCUGGGUGAGCAGGAAGCUGAUAGUAGAUGACAGUCUGCAACAGGCAUGGAGUUUGUCCAGCCUUGAACAUUGACUAUGAAUUUGAAUUUAAUGUUUGCUGAGCAGC